UACGUAGGAUGCAAGCGUUGUCCGGAUUUACUGGGCGUAAAGGGCUCGUAGGUGGCCAACUAAAGUCAGACGUGAAAUCCCUCGGCUUAACCGGGGAACUGCGUCUGAUACUGGAUGGCUUGAGUUCGGGAGAGGGAUGCGGAAUUCCAGGUGUAGCGGUGAAAUGCGUAGAUAUCAGGAAGAACACCCGUGGCGAAGGCGGCUCUCUGGGACGGUACUGACGCUGAGACGCGAAAGCGUGGGGAGCGAACAGG
rnacentral:rRNA from 1 species